AAGGGAUGACAACAUAAAGUUCAGACGCAAACGGAAGUGACCAGGCUCUGGACCCUGGCCAAGGGUGGACUGAGAACAGGAGUGGAUCUGCAGGAAAGCAGCCACAGAGCCCGGAUACACACUGUUUCCAGAGGAGUCAUCUUGGCCUUAAGUCCCAGAUGGCCCAGAUUUGAGUUUGGGUCAACAAGUUCUGGCUAUUACAUAGACUGGUCUCUUACAACUUAGCUGACAAUGGAGACUGGGAAACAUUCCAGAUCAAAGACCUAAAUCUUGCCAUCUCUUAAGCGGCUGUCAAGCUAAGAACCAAUACUCAGGAGGCAGAGCCAAGAGGAUCUGAAGUUGGGGGCCAGCCUCAAAGAGGAGGAGGAAGAGGAGGAGGAGAGUGAGGGAAAGAAGUGGAUGAAGAGAAAGAGGGAGAAGAUGAAGAGAAAGAGGGAGAAGAUGAAGAGAAAGAGGGAGAAGAUGAAGAGAAAGAAUUCUUUUUUAUCACCUCCUACCGUGACCUCUUCACCUCUCCCAGGAUCAUAUGGAAAAUGGGGGUAGCAGGCAGAGUAAAAGAACCCCCGUGAGAAGUGUUGCUGUACACAGAGUCACAAGGAAGGUCUAUGACCGCAGAAUGUGUCUGUCUAUCUUCAAGGGGAUGUAUUUAUCUCAUGACAACUAGCUGGGUGGAUUAAUCAUCAUUUGCUUACAAACUAAUUCCUGCCAAUGGAUAUGGCAGCUGUUUCCACUACUUUUCAGUUGUUCAUAAUAGUGCUGUCUAACCCUUUAUAAACAUGUGUUUACGUGUGUGUUUGUGGGCAUUGACUUGUGUGCACUUGUGUGGCUGCAGGGCCAACAUGCAUUGUGGUAGCUUUGUCAAAAAGUUCCCCUGACCCAAAACUUCCAACAUUAUUUGGCACAUGUCCAUUGACUCCAGGUCUUCAAUGGUGGUGACCAUCAUUUUCUUCACUGCCAACCAACUGAGGAAAAGUAAUAGUGAAUUUAACCUGCAUCUAUGGUUGUUACUGAAACUCCCAUAUUGGCAUGUUUUAUUGAGCAUUUUUACUUGAGAGAAAUAAUUAAAGAAUUAAAGAACGGAAUAGAUUCUUCUAGGAGCUUCCUGGUAGACUGCCCCAGCCACAAUCUAGACUUAAGUCCUUAGACUGGCUUCAGAC
rnacentral:lncRNA from 1 species